rnacentral:lncRNA from 1 species
AUCAACACCCGGAGGAAGGUGGACUGGCUCACCGAGAAGAUGCAUGCUCGAGAUUUCACUGUAUCCGCCAUGCAUGGAGAUAUGGACCAAAAGGAACGAGACGUGAUUAUGAGGGAGUUUCGUUCUGGCUCUAGCAGAGUUUUGAUUACCACUGACCUGCUGAGUGUCCUCCGUGCACAUGCUGAAGAGUUGUCUUUCUUGACGUAGGCCAGAGGCAUUGAUGUGCAGCAGGUUUCUUUAGUCAUCAACUAUGACCUUCCCACCAACAGGGAAAACUAUAUCCACAGAAUCGGUCGAGGUGGACGGUUUGGCCGUAAAGGUGUGGCUAUUAACAUGGUGACAGAAGAAGACAAGAGGACUCUUCGAGACAUUGAGACCUUCUACAACACCUCCAUUGAGGAAAUGCCCCUCAAUGUUGCUGACCUCAUCUGAGGGGCUGUCCUGCCACCCAGCCCCAGCCAGGGCUCAAUCUCUGGGGGCUGAGGAGCAGCAGGAGGGGGGAGGGAAGGGAGCCAAGGGAUGGACAUCUUGUCAUUUUUUUUCUUUGAAUAAAUGUCACUUUUUGAGGCAAAAGAA